UUGAUGUUAAAGGUUGUAAUGUAGAAACCGAACGCGAAAUGGCGGGCCCCCGCGGACCCGCAACCGCGAGACCGCGAGCGCACAGGUUCGCGGCGCGACCACCAGGCGGCGACCGCGAGAACCGCGUAACUCGCGAGGCAAACAGCCUCAUACAUAUACCGCGCCGCGAACCGAGGAAAGGCAGAUCUACUCUUCCGAAGCGAGUCUCAUGACAAGCGACAACGAAAGUACGAUCAUCUGCAUUUCUGGGCUCCUACAAACUUCCUCCAACAGUGUUCGUCGGACGAGACGCGUACCGCGGUCGUCCGCAGGCCCUCCAGGCUCCACUCUUGUGAUUUUGAUGCAAAUUUUAGGUUUACGCCUCACUACCAGGAGGCGCUGAUGUCACUUCUCUACAUGCAUAGCUUGUAUCACUGAUUUUAACACACAACUAAAGAUAUCGUGACGUCAUGUUCCCGCGAAAUUUGUCGCCGCGUUUUUCAAUUGUUUCAAAAUUUAAAGAGACAAAAGAAAUAUGGCGCACAUGGUUGCACAUGGUGUGAUGGUGGCAGCGUAGGUGAUUGAAUUUCCAGUUUUUUCUAGGUGUUUAGGUUUGUCAAUAACUUCUGCUGAUGAGAUGCAGUAACAGGAGGAGAAGCUAGAAAUUAAAAAGAGGAAGAAACUAUGCAUCAUCAGAGGGUGUAUUAACGAAAACAGCAGGAUGUUCUCCUUCCCCUUAGAGAGAAAGGAUAAGAAGAGGAUGGCACAGUGGGUGGAAGUAUGUGACAACCCAAAGAAAUUCUGAAUGAUCUGUAGUAGAUACUUUAAAGAAAAAUACUUCAUGAGGAAAAGAUUAACAACAUCAGCAGUUCCAACACUGAACUUACUUGGUAAUUACUCUUAUGUAUACUUUUUAUAGCAUAUGUAAAUAAUUGUUAAUGAAAAUAUUUAUUACAGUGUCAGAGACUACCUCUAU